AGUGAACGCUGGCGGUAGGCCUAACACAUGCAAGUCGAACGGCAGCACAGUAAGAGCUUGCUCUUACGGGUGGCGAGUGGCGGACGGGUGAGGAAUACAUCGGAAUCUACUUUUUCGUGGGGGAUAACGUAGGGAAACUUACGCUAAUACCGCAUACGACCUACGGGUGAAAGCAGGGGAUCUUCGGACCUUGCGCGAUUGAAUGAGCCGAUGUCGGAUUAGCUAGUUGGCGGGGUAAAGGCCCACCAAGGCGACGAUCCGUAGCUGGUCUGAGAGGAUGAUCAGCCACACUGGAACUGAGACACGGUCCAGACUCCUACGGGAGGCGGCAGUGGGGAAUAUUGGACAAUGGGCGCAAGCCUGAUCCAGCCAUACCGCGUGGGUGAAGAAGGCCUUCGGGUUGUAAAGCCCUUUUGUUGGGAAAGAAAAGCAGCAGGUUAAUACCCCGCUGUUCUGACGGUACCCAAAGAAUAAGCACCGGCUAUCUUCGUG
rnacentral:rRNA from 1 species